ensembl:lncRNA
UGUUAAGAGAUUUUCAAAUGUUUCAAGUAUUAUUCCCACUGCCAUUUGUACGUUAUUGAAAGUUUAUCUUUAAUUUUAGUGUUAAUAGUUGUUUACCCAUUUAUUCUUUCCAUUUAAUCGUAUUUUUAUGAUUUUACUGUUUCGCUGAAGUGAAGCUUAAAUGAAAGCAUAGUGUUCUCAGAUAUGAUUCACCCAGUAUAUUUCCUCUGCACCUGGUUCUCUACGAGCCGUUUCACUCCCAGGAAGGGGAGAGCAGGACGUUCUUAUCUAUACACUCCCAAAUACAAAGAGGGGCCCAUUCUUCAGAAUCACACACACACACUCUGAGAUCAUAAACUUCACACACACACACAUACUCUGAAACGCUAUAAAUAAAGAACUGCCACAUACGCUGGUUGUGAGCCUGAGACAGCAGCGCCACCCAGCGUGCGCACGUUGUUACCAUCUAAACUGUCUUGAGUGUCUUUAUUUCGCCUGAAGAAUGUCUUGUUUAAAUAUUUACUCCUUACAUUUAUUUGGUCCUUCGAACCAACAGAGUGACCUCGUCGUUUCCUGGAUUCGUGAACCCACGCUGCAAAGUCUGUCAUGACAGCCUGUUUCUAGUGAAACAGUAAAGACCAACUACGUGAAUUCGCCGUUGGCCAGCGUUUUUACCAAGAGGUCCACGAUCCCAGGGAGCGAGGAGGAUUCUCUCUGACCGGCAUUUUCAUCCGAACCAGUUUCUUGCAGGUUGAAAAAGGGUUGAACCAAUCCAAGAACCACAAUCUCCCGAAUAGAAAAGUGAGCAGUAAAGUCUAGACUGCAGACCGCUCUAACCUCUGGUGUUCACUCGGUGGGGAGAAGGGCUAUCAGUGGCAACACUGAGACACUCGCUCCUCUUGCUGGGUGUCUACUCAUUGGAGGCCAAGGGCGUGUCCACGGUCGAGGAGAAACGCUCACAGAGGGAGACCUGAUGGAGAUGGAAAUACUAAAUGCAAACCAGGAUGCCCCUGAGGGUGAGAAACCGCACAGACGACGCCGAUGCUGGACAAGAGGAUGCCAACUGACCACUGUCACAACGAUGUGUUCCAUGCUCGUGUUCACAGUAUUCUUAUCACUGGCCCUGGUAGGCAUGAACACGGCCUGCACCAGCAACCCAUGUGACCCACACUGCCCGAGGAUUUACCGGCAGGCUCCAAAUGUGACGUGUCCUGAAAGGGGAACCAUUUU